UAGAUCUCUAAAGCAAGAGAAAGACCAGGCACUUUGAUACUCUUGGCUCAAGCUAAACUGUCAAUCAUUCAGGGGAUGUCUACAAAAGUUCAUCUAAAUCGACUUCUUGACAUUCGCAACUCCAUUAAAAUCAGGAGACUGGUAUCACUGCAGAAGUGGUGUAUUCAUAUCCUAUCCCUUUUGAACAUCCACUUGCAAGGGACUUCUAUUUACAAGAAACACAAGAGUAAAUCUUUAAUGCAAUGCCCAUAGAAGCUUCUGGAUAUCUAGCCAACCAAAACAUUCCCCAGCACUGCUUCCACAUAGGAUGUCUGUGUAGAGUUGGUUACAUUAAUGGCCAGCUCAAAGAAGCCAACGCAAUGUGGGUGGAUGCCAUCAGCUGUGAAUGUCCUAAAAGAGAGUAUGGAAUAAGACUUGGCCUCCAAAGGAAGUGACUGGGCCUGGCCUAAAGUGACUGACUCUCCCAGUGUGUGAUUUGCAGCUAUGCCAUCCGUCUACUGGAAACCCUACCAAUGUCAGAAGCCAGCCAGUAGUUUGCAGAAAAUUCAUUUAGAUUUAUCCACUCAAAUUUU